rnacentral:misc_RNA from 1 species
UCCGGUUUGUCACCGGCAGUCUCACUAGAGUGCCCUUUCGUAGCAACUAGUGACAAGGGUUGCGCUCGUUGCGGGACUUAACCCAAUAUCUCACGACACGAGCUGACGACAGCCAUGCAGCAUCUGUGCAUGAGCUCCGAAGAGCACCUCUGAUCUCUCAAAGGCUUCCCAUGCAUGUCAAGCCCAAGUAAGGUUCUGCGCGUUGCAUCGAAUUAAACCACAUACUCCACCGCUUGCGCGGGCCCCCGUCAAUUCCUUUGAGUUUCAGUCUUGCGACCGUACUCCCCAGGCGGCGAACUUAACGCGUUAGCUUCGAUACUGAAGGCCUGAUUGCCCCCAACAUCCAGUUCGCAUCGUUUAGGGCGUGGACUAC